rnacentral:rRNA from 1 species
AUUAACGCUGGCAGAGUGCAUAACACAUGCAAGUCGCGCGGAACUACUUGAGAUUACAUCAACUGGUAGUUUAGCGUCAAUACGAGUGGAGUAACACGUAAGCAAUCUACCCCCGAAUGGUGAACAACCAGCCGAAAGGUUUGGCUAAUACACCGUACUAUCUCUGGAAGGCAUCUUCCGUAGGCAUGAUUAGCUUCGGCGAUCGGGGAGGAGCUUGCGGUCCCAUCAGGCUAGUUUGGCGGUGUAACGGACCACCAAGGCUAGUGAAGGUUACCACGGCCUGAAAGGGCGGACGGGCACGAAGGCACUGAGACACGGGCCUUACUCCUACGGGAGGCAGCAGUGGGGAAUUUUGGACAAUGGGGGAAACCCUGAUCCAGCAACUCUGCGUGAGGGACGAAGCCUUUCGGGGCGUAAACACUCUUAUAUCUGGGACGAACACCCGCAAGGGUCUGACGGUACAGGUGAAUAAGCCACGGCUAACUAAUGUGCCAGCAGCAUGCGGUAAGACAUAGGUGGCGAGCGUUAUUCGGAAUUACUAGGCGUAAAGCGAGUGUAGGACAGGGCAGCUUAAGUCCGUUGUGAAAUCUCCCGGCUUUAACUGGGAGGGGUCAAUGGAUUAACUGGGUGUCUUGAGUAGAGGUAGGGGUGCAGUGGAAUUCCCGUGUAGCGGUGAAAUGCGUAGAUAUCGUAGGAGGAACACCGAUGGCGAAAGGCAGCCUAGCCUGGGCUACACUGACGCUCAUGCACGAAAGGCGGUGGAGGAGCAAACAGGAUUAGAUACCCUGGGUAGUCCUACGCGCUAAAACUAUGUCAACUGGUUGUCGGGGAAGCAAUUGCCUUGGUAACGAAGCUAACGCGUGAAGUUGACCGCCUGGGGGAGUACGGCCCGGCAAGGUUAUAAAACUCAAAGGAAUUGACGGGGACCCGCACAAGCGGUGGAUUAUGUGGAUUAAGUCGAUGCAACGCGAAAAACCUUACCUACCUUGACAUGCCAGGAACCAGUCAGCAGAGAUGUGAGGGAUGCCCGAAAGGGAACCUGGACACAUGGUGCUGCAUGGCUAGUCGUAUCAGCUCGUGUCGUGAGAAUGAUUGGGUUAAGUCCCGCAACGAGCGCAACCCUUGCCAUUAGGUUGCCUACAUUUCAGUUGGGCACUCUAAUGGGACUAGCCGGUGACAAACCGGAGGAAGGUGGGGAUGACGUCAAGGAUCCUCAUGGCCCUUAUGGGUAGGGCUUCACACGUAAUACAAUGGCCGGUACAAGAGGGCAGCCAACUCGCGAGAGGGAGCUAAUCCCAGAAAGCCGGUCGUAGUCCGGAUUGCAGUCUGCAACUCGACUGCAUGAAGCCGGAAUCGCUAGUAAUCGCGGUAUCAGCAUGAUUCGCGGUGAAUACGUUCCCGGGUCUUGUACACACCGCCCGUCAACACACCAUGGAGUGGGUUUUCACCAGAUAGUAGUUAGCCUAAACCGCAAGGAGGGCGACUACCACGGUGAGAUUCAUGACUGGGGGG